rnacentral:rRNA from 1 species
AGUUUGAUUAUGGCUCAGAUUAGACGCUGGCGGGAUGCUUUACACAUGCAAGUCGAACGGCAGCACGGACUUCGGUCAGGUGGCGAGUGGCAGACGGGUGAGUAAUGUAUCGGAACGUGCCUAGUAGCGGGGGAUAACUACGCGAAAGCGUAGCGUACCGCAUACGCCCUUCGAGAAAGCGGGGGACCUUCGGGCCUCGCACUAAUGGGAAGCGGCCGAUAUCGGAUUCUGGCGGUUGGUGCGUUAACGGCUCACAUGACUUGAUCCGUAGCUGGUUUGAAGGACGGGCAAACCGCCGGACUGGAAUGACUGAGCUCUCUACGGGGGCAGCAGUGGGGAAUUUUGGACAAUGGAAACCUGAUCCAGCCAUCCCGUGCGAUGAAGGCCUUCGGGUUGUAAAGCACUUUUUGGCAGAAAGAAACAGCACGGGAUAAUAUCUCCCAUGCAGCUGACGUACCUGCAGAAUAAGCACCGGCUAACUACGUGCCAGCAGCCGCGGUAAUACGUAGGUGCGACGUUAAUCGGAAUUACUGGGCGUAAAGCGUGCGCAGGCGGGUUCGGAAGAAAGAUGUGAAAUCCCGGAAGCUUUAACUUUUUGAACCUGCAUUUUUAACUACCGAGCUAGAGUGUGUCAGAGGGAGGUGGAAUUCCGCGUGUAGCAGUGAAAUGCGUAGAUAUGCGGAGGAACACCGAUGGUGAAAACAGCCUCACAGGAUAACACUGACGCUCAUGCACAAGAAAGCGUGGGGAGCAAACAGGAUUAGAUACCGCACUACGGGCUGUGAUCCCGCCCUAAACGAUGUCAACUGGCUGUACAGGGCCUUCGGGCCUUGGUACGCUUCUGCAGCUAACGCGUCGAGGUCAUUAUAAGGAAGUGCGAUUAUGGGGUCAAAACUCAAAAGGAAUUGGCGGGGACCCACUGGCGGUAGUGGAUGAUGUGGAUUAAUUCGAUACAACGCGAAAAACCUUACCUACCCUUGACGCUGUCUGGAAUCCCGAAGAGAUUUGGGUGCUCGCAAGAGAACCGGAACACAGGUGCUGCAUGGCUGUCGUCAGCUCGUGUCGUGAGGUGUUGGGUUAAGUCCCGCGACGAGCGCAACCCUUGUCAUUAGUUGCUACGAAGGGCACUCUAAUGAGACUGCCGGUAAAACCGGGAGAGGAGGAAGGUGGGGAUGACGUCAAGUCCUCAUAGGCCAUGUGGUGAGCUGCGCGUCAUACAAUGGUCGGGACAGAGGGUCGCCAACCCGCGAGGGGAGCCAAUCGAGAAACCCCGAUCAAUGGUCCGGACCGCGGUCUGCAACUCGACUGCGGCAAAGUCGGAAUCGCUAGUAAUGCUCGGAUCAGCAUGCGUCGCGGUGAAUACGUUCCGGGUCUUGUACAUACCGCCCGUCACGUGAUUGGUUUACCGAAAUACGUUCAUUAUCAUGUCGGAAAGCCGAUUACCACGGUAGGAUUCAUGACUGGGGUGAAGUCGUAACAAGGUAA